UAUAUAUACACAUAUAUAUACACACAUUAAAUGAAAUCCCUCUUCUGCAUUGAUUUAUACACAUGCACACCCACGCAUGCAUGACUUGUACUCACAUAUCGGUUUAUGUUAUGUAGAUACACACCUCCAUACGAUGCACACACACACACACACACACAUACUAUCACACAGUAUCACAAUAAACGUUUGUUGAGCGGUGAUUGUGAUAUUAUAUUUAUUGGAAACAUCGACUAGCCCCCUCCCCUACCCCAAAAUUUCAGGCCUUAAGCCUAUAGCAGAAAGACUUAUUAUUAUUAUUAUUAUUAUUAUUAUUAUUAUGAAGUCGCCGAGCUGGCAGAACUGUUAGCACACCAGGCAAAAUGCUUAGUGGAAUUUUGUCCAUCUUCAUCUUCUGAGUUCAAAUUCUGCUGAGGUUGACUUUGCCUUUCAUCCUUUCGGGAUCGAUAAAAUAAGUACCAGUUGAGCACUGGACUCGAUGUAAUUCACUAGUCCCUCUCCCCUGAAAUUUCAGGCCUUGUGCCUAUAGUAGAAAGGGUUGUUGUUAUUAUUAUUAUUAAGGUAGUGAGCUGGCAGAACAGCACUCUGGGCGAAAUGCUUAGUGGCAUUUUGUCCAUUGCUAUGCUCUGAGUUAAAAUUCUGCCUAGGUAGACUUUGCCUUUCAUCCUUUCUGGGUCAAUAAAAUAUGUACCAGUUGAACACUGAACUUGAUGUAAUCGAUGUACCUGCUCCUCAGGAAAUUGCUGGCCUUGUGCCAAAAUUUGAAGCCAAUAUUAUGUAUAGUACUAAUGAUCUUGGAAAUCAGUUGGGUGGCAAAAACAGUAAGACCAUGCUUUUAAGGAUCAUUUCUUAAGUAUGCGUCGCAAUGGCAUCCGAUUCUAUUGAUUGGAUCAACAACAUCACGAUGAUGUGAGAUUGUACUGAGUCCUGAGUGUGAAACAGGUUUUUCUCUAUCCUUCAUUCCUUGCCUCUUAACGAAUGUGAGAAAACCAUUGAGGAUCAUUCUUCAGAGGUUUAAUAACUUCUUAAAGAGGGACUCAAUACUUUCUGAGUGAUCUUUUUUUAGCCCCUUGUGGGCAAUAAAGAAAUAAGAAACAGUGAUACUGCUCCAAAUGCCAUACAACAUUUGGCUUCACCUCUCAUACAUUCCAUGCUCAGGUCCCACUGCAAUGGCAGGGAUCAGGAGAAAAAAUUCCUUACUGUAUGUAAUUCAACCCUGUUCUGAGUAGCAAUUCUUUUACUGUUCACUUUCACCUCACACUAGUCCCAGUGGUGGAAAAGUAGUACACACACACACACACACCACUAUAUAUAUAUAUAUAUAUAUAUAUAUAUAUAUAUAUAUAUAUUUGUGUGUAUGUGUGUGUGUGUGUGAUAAAAAUUGACAGAAGCAUUAAAAUGUUGGGGAAAAUGAAAAAAUGAUUUGCUGUAUUUUAUUCUGAAUUUUUACAUUCUGAGUUUAAAUUCUGCUAGGAUCAACUUUGCUGUUCAUCCCUCUGGGGCCAAUAAAAUAAUGAUUACAUCAAGUAAAUCUUUACCUUAAAAUUGCUGCUUUGUGCCCAAACCAGAAACAAUUAUUAUCAUUAUUAUUAUUAUUAUUAUUAGUAGUAGUAGUAGUAAGUGGUUGAUAACAGAACCAGAAAAACAUUAGACAAAAUGUCUUGUAGUGAUUAGCUAGUUUCCUCUAGCUAAAAUCCUGCGGAAGUUGACUUUGCCUUUCAUUCCCCAAUCUUCACUCCAUAUUCCCUGCAAGUUAAAUCAGUUGCACCCCACCUCACUUUUCCAAAAGUAGCAAUCACUCUUCUUCUGAUUAUUAUUAUUAAAGUAACAACCUGGCACAGCAGCAUUUCUGAGUUCAAAUGCCACUUGAGGUCCACUUUGCCUUUCAGCCCUUUCAGGGUCAAUAAAUUAAGUACCAGUAAAACACUGGGGGUCAAUGAAAUUGACUUACCCACUCCCCAAAAUUUCGGGCCUUGUGCCUACAGUAGAAAGGAUUAUUAUUAUUAUUAUUAUUAGAAAACGAAUGAGACCCCUCCCUCCCAGUUAAAAUGUUCAAACCCAAAUCAUCUGUCACCCAGUCACUUUGUUAGCUGAUAUAAAUAUAAUGCCCUCUUAUGAACUGUGAAAUAAAUAAACUAAUAUGAAAAAUAAAUCGAUGGGAAAUUGUUUAAAAAUGAAAGUUUUAAAUGAAGAGACAACCCAAGUGACAUUUCUUUUAAAUUACAAAAAAAAAAAAAAUAAUAAUAAUAAGGAAUCAAUAAAAUCUAAACAAUU
rnacentral:lncRNA from 1 species